rnacentral:rRNA from 1 species
UACGUAUGGAGCAAGCGUUAUCCGGAUUUACUGGGUGUAAAGGGAGCGCAGGCGGUCUGGCAAGUCUGAUGUGAAAGGCCGGGGCUCAACCCCGGGACUGCAUUGGAAACUGUCAGACUGGAGUGUCGGAGAGGUAAGCGGAAUUCCUAGUGUAGCGGUGAAAUGCGUAGAUAUUAGGAGGAACACCAGUGGCGAAGGCGGCUUACUGGACUGUAACUGACACUGAGGCACGAAAGCGUGGGGAGCAAACAGG